CUUUCAGAAAUUCCGCCAGGGGGGACGCACUGGGAGGAAGGACCGCAAAAAUGCCCGGCAUUCCGCGAGCCAUGCGUUGCGCUUUUGCGCAUACAUGGCUUCCGGGCUGCCGGUCGUUAGCGUCCAGGAGGACCUGCGCUUCCUUUCACAAAGAAAAAUGGACGACCUACCUUGGAAACAAGGGAUACGCGCCCACAACUAUUAAAAACAUCCUAAAUAGUGCGGUAUUGUUUCUCCGCCAUGCGGAAAACGUCCACGGGAGGGCGACCAAGCUGACGGGGAAGCAGUAGAGGCUCCUUGAAUAUGAGCUGAAAAGGAUUUCUGCCGAUGUACAUAAAGGCCUAUGUACGUCGGCAGAAGAUUUUGAAAAAGAAAACGGACAAUCGAGCUCUUCCUGAACGCGGCGAGGAAGCGUAUCGCGGAGCUGAUGGAACAACUUCCGAAUGACGGGCCCGAGCAUUCGCUCCUGCCGGGAUACGUGCUGGGAUUCCUCGCCGUCCUCACCGGCCAUCGCUCCGUCGCCAUCGUGAAUAUGACGGCGGCCCAGGUCCUGGCGGCGGAGCGGUCAAAGGAUAGUCAAA